AUGGGAUUCUCCAGGCAGGGAUACUGGAGUGGGUUGCCGUGCCCUCCUCCAGGGGAUCUUUCCUGGACCUCAUGUCAUCCCAAUGCAUCUCAUCCAGGGAGCUGUGGGUCUUUAAGUCUGGGGGCUUUGGGAGGCAGAGAAUACUUCCAGCACCUUCCUGAAUGUUCUAUCAGAGACUUGGCUGAGGAAAUCCGCCUUGCUUUCCUUCUGACCCAGCUACGAUACUCUGAGGGUGGAGCCGAGGGCACAUUUGUGUUGAUGGUGGAGGAGCAUCAUUUCCACAUGGGUGCCGGGCUCGCAGCUGCGAAGAACAGCCUUACCAACAUCAUCAAGCUGGAGCAGAACUUCCCCCAGUUCCACGCCCUUCCUGGGGAGCUGGUCCUUCAGACCUCAUACGAGCGAGCCCGUGGCACCCAAGUCCUGCACCACACGGUGCUGUGGGAUGGGCAGGGCGUGGCCCUCAAGGGGAGCCUCAAUGGGAGCCUCUCCAUGCCCUUCCUCAAGCCCGCUGGGACCCUUGGUCUGCAGGUGGAGCUCACCCACCCGCUGCCCCUGCCCCUUCCAUGGCACUGCAGCUUCCGCCUGACCUCCGAGCAUUCAGCACGCCGUCACCAGGAUGACCUGGUUGUGGGCUGGGACGGCAAGGACCAGGUGGCGCUGUCCUCCUCUCUGCAGCUGGGAAAGGGCAAGCUGGCCGCCCGCCUGGCCCUGGCUCACCCUUUCAGCCUCUCCUGGCGGCAGGCCCAGGCCAGUGGCCUUGCUGAGAGCAGGGGCGGCAGGCAGAGCUGGCAGGUGCAGCUUGCCUGGAACGGAGGGCAGCCGCUGGCCUUGCAGCUCACCUGGGCCAACAGGUCCUCGACGCAGAGCACCUCCUGGGAUGGUUGCGUGGCUGCCUCCCUGGGGCAGCUCCAGGACACCUGGGGCCUGGGCACCCUCAGGGCCUGUGGGGCCUUAACGCAGACCCCAGCUGUGCUCAGCGAGUGGCUGGAUCUGUCCUGGGACGGACGC
rnacentral:lncRNA from 1 species